rnacentral:rRNA from 1 species
GACGAACCGUCCGAACGUUAUUCGGAAUCACUGGGCUUAAAGGGUGCGUAGGCGGCGCGGAAAGUUGGGUGUGAAAUCCCUCGGCUUAACCGAGGAACGGCGCCCAAAACUACCGUGCUCGAGGGAGAUAGAGGUGAGCGGAACUUAGGGUGGAGCGGUGAAAUGCGUUGAUAUCCUAAGGAACACCGGUGGCGAAAGCGGCUCACUGGAUCUCUUCUGACGCUGAUGCACGAAGGUCAGGGGAGCAAACGGG